CAUGCAGGCGGCUCAUCAAGUAGGAUGUGAAAUCCCCGGGCUCAACCUGGGAACAGCAUACUAAACUGGUGGACUAGAGUAUUGCAGGGGGAGACGGAAUUCCAGGUGUAGCGGUGGAAUGCGUAGAUAUCUGGAAGAACACCAAAGGCGAAGGCAGUCUCCUGGGCAAAUACUGACGCUCAUAUGCGAAAGCGUGGGUAGCAAACA
rnacentral:rRNA from 1 species